rnacentral:lncRNA from 1 species
AAGAAACUGGGCAAGCCAAUGAAAGUCUCUGGGGAUCAUGGGAAUUGAGUGUCUAUGAAAACCAUAUUCCAGACAAGAAUAUAGUCUAAGGACACAGCAAGAGGCAACAUUUUGGAAGCAGAGGGCAACUCUCACUGGAAACCAAAUCUCCUGGCACCUUGAUCUUGGAUUUUACAGCCUCCAGAACUCUGGGAGGCAUUACAUAGUCAUGUGCGAGGUCAAAACUGAGUCACCACCACAACCAAGUUCCAGCUGGCAAGAAGAGGAAAAAUAACACAGAGGAGUUAUGACCAGUGUUGUAAGGAUCUGGCCUAGAAAUGGCAUGCAUCUCUUCCACUAAUAUCCUAUUGGUAAAAAUGUAGUCACAUGGGCACACCACCUAUCUGCAUGGAAGGCUGGGAAAUGUUGAUCGGUAGGGCAGCCAUAUGUGUAGGAAGGAGAAAACAGAAUUUGGUGGAUACCUAGUAGUCUCUGCCAUACCCUUGACCAGA